rnacentral:ncRNA from 1 species
UUUCCCUCAGGAUAGCUGGCGCUCUCACUCUUACCCGACACACGCAGUUUUAUCCGGUAAAGCGAAUGAUUAGAGGUCUUGGGGCUGAAAUGAUCUCAACCUAUUCUCAAACUUUAAAUGGGUAAGAAGCCCGGCUCGCUGGCGUGGAGCCGGGCGUAGAAUGCGAGUGCCUAGUGGGCCACUUUUGGUAAGCAGAACUGGUGCUGCGGGAUGAACCG